UACGGAGGGGGCUAGCGUUGUUCGGAAUUACUGGGCGUAAAGCGCGCGUAGGCGGCUUUGUAAGUUAGAGGUGAAAGCCCGGAGCUCAACUCCGGAACUGCCUUUAAGACUGCAUCGCUAGAAUUGUGGAGAGGUGAGUGGAAUUCCGAGUGUAGAGGUGAAAUUCGUAGAUAUUCGGAAGAACACCAGUGGCGAAGGCGACUCACUGGACACAUAUUGACGCUGAGGUACGAAAGCGUGGGGAGCAAACAGG
rnacentral:rRNA from 1 species